rnacentral:rRNA from 1 species
UACGUAGGGUGCAAGCGUUAAUCGGAAUUACUGGGCGUAAAGCGUGCGCAGGCGGUUUUGUAAGUCUGUCGUGAAAUCCCCGGGCUCAACCUGGGAAUUGCGAUGGAGACUGCAAGGCUAGAAUCUGGCAGAGGGGGGUAGAAUUCCACGUGUAGCAGUGAAAUGCGUAGAGAUGUGGAGGAACACCGAUGGCGAAGGCAGCCCCCUGGGUCAAGAUUGACGCUCGUGCACGAAAGCGUGGGGAGCAAACAGGAUUAGAAACCCAGUAGUCC